AACGAACGCUGGCGGCAGGCUUAACACAUGCAAGUCGAGCGCCCCGCAAGGGGAGCGGCAGACGGGUGAGUAACGCGUGGGAAUCUACCCAUCUCUACGGAAUAACGCAUGGAAACGUGUGCUAAUACCGUAUACGUCCUUCGGGAGAAAGAUUUAUCGGAGAUGGAUGAGCCCGCGUUGGGUUAGCUAGUUGGUGAGGUAAAGGCCUACCAAGGCGACGAUCCAUAGCUGGUCUGAGAGGAUGAUCAGCCACACUGGGACUGAGACACGGCCCAGACUCCUACGGGAGGCAGCAGUGGGGAAUAUUGGACAAUGGGCGCAAGCCUGAUCCAGCCAUGCCGCGUGAGUGAUGAAGGCCCUAGGGUUGUAAAGCUCUUUCACCGGUGAAGAUAAUGACGGUAACCGGAGAAGAAGCCCCGGCUAACUUCGUGCCAGCCGCCGCAGUAAUAC
rnacentral:rRNA from 1 species